rnacentral:misc_RNA from 1 species
CUGGUUCCUACGUACCCGAAAAGGUUGAAGAAUAUAUAUAUAUGAUGACAGAGACGUCACCUUAAACGCAAACGUACAAAGCACUCAAACUAGAAACAAGCCAAGCCACGAAAACAAUGUAAAACAACAGGGAAAUUAAGAAACUAGAAACACUAGGCGCACUGGAAUCCUGCGCAGACACCCUUUCCGCAGUAAUUCAAGAGCAAGCUUCAUGAGAUAGGAACGUUAAGAUUGAUGCCCAAAACAUUGGCCUUAAGGACAGUGCAAAGGCAAACGGCGGCCUCAAGAUCAGCAAGACCUUGAAUGAGAGGGCAGCAUGGUUUCUUUUGUGGGGUUCCCACUACAAGGUGCAACAAAUCUUUUAAUAAUUUAGAGCAUACUCCUAGCCUUGGGGUGUCUCUUGGGCAAGUGGCCGUAGCUACUGGUGAUGGACAAGGGACAAGAUGAUGAGUUGAGCUCACCAAAGUGAAGAAGAGAAGGUUAAGGGAGAGAAAAAGGGCAGUGCUUGCAACAGCCUUGGAAGCCAUUUUUGGGUAUGGGAUGGUGAUUGGAAUUGGCAAUGAAGUAAUUUGCUAGGCUACGGUUUAUGCAGACGGAGAUUGUUGCUGUCAGUAUAGCUUUUCCGGUGUUGUCAAGCUUCAAUGUUGGCCCUUUUAUGUCUGUUUCAAGGAAAAAGUGUUUUCCCUUUAUUGUUUCUGUCAUUGCAAUAUCCCUUACUU